CACCAUUUUUCUUCAUCUUCCGCAUCUGCACCUACCCUACUUUCACACAUGGAAACUAUACGUACUACUCUAUAUAUAAGUGCUCUAGUCGAGCACCCAUUGCACAAAUUGUGAGCCAGGUCGCCAAUCCAAGUAGAAUAGAAACACAGGAAGGAGCAAAGAGACGAAAGAUCGAGGAUGGUGAACAACAACUCCUCUGCGACCUCGGUUCGGCUGAUGCUGAUCCUCCUCGUUCUGCUGGUUUUCGUUGGUGGUAUCCUGGCAAAUAGUGGGCCGUCCAAAUGCAGCAACCCUGCGGCUCAGCGAGACUGCCCGCGGAUCCCUAAUGGCGGCUCAUAAGCAAGAGAUGAACCAUUUCCGCGUAGCAGGAUUCGGUAGGAUCUUGUGUUGGCAGGCGUUGGAAGCUUCCUGUUAUCUGCGAACCAAACAAUAUACAAGUUCUUGAGGUUGUCCGUGUGUUAUAUGUUUGUUUGUAUUGAUAUGUUUGUACAAAGGUUUUUGAGUCCCGACUUGGCGAGUCGCCGCGAGCCCUGCGGCUAGGCGAUUAGUCGACGGAAGUCGCUGUAUAGUCGCCAUAAGUCGCUGUAUAGUCGCGAGUCGCCUUGAUUUUUGGAAAAUGACUUGGCGAUUAGUCGGCGACUAUACAGCAACUCAAAAACCAUGGUUUAUACUGUGACCUUGUUUACGUAUAAAUAAUCCCGCCUACCCCUUGCAUUAAAAA